AGAAUCAACGCUGGCGGCGUGCCUAACACAUGCAAGUCGAACGAGAAAGUGGAGCAAUCCAUGAGUAAAGUGGCGCACGGGUGAGUAACACGUGACUAACCUACCCUUGAGUGGGGAAUAACCUAGGGAAACCUGGGCUAAUACCGCAUAACACCUACGGGUCAAAGGAGCAAUUCGCUUAAGGAGGGGUCGCGGCAGAUUAGCUAGUUGGCGGGGUAAUGGCCCACCAAGGCAGUGAUCUGUAUCCGGCCUGAGAGGGCGCGACGGACGACGACUGGAACUGAAACACGGUCCAGACUCCUACGGGAGGCAGCAGUGGGGAAUUUUGCGCAAUGGGGGAAACCCUGACGCAGCAACGCCGCGUGGAGGAUGAAGUCCCUUGGGACGUAAACUCCUUUCGACCGGAAGAUUAUGACGGUACCGGAAGAAGAACGCCCCGGCUAACUUCGUGCCAGCAGCCGC
rnacentral:rRNA from 1 species